UACAGAGAGUGCAAGCGUUAAUCAGAAUUACUGGGCGUAAAGCGCGCGUAGGUGGAUAUUUAAGUCGAAUAUGAAAGCCCCGGGCUCAACCUGGGAAUUGCAUCCGAUACUGGGUAUCUAGAGUAUGGUAGAGGGAAGUGGAAUUUCCGGUGUAGCGGUGAAAUGCGUAGAUAUCGGAAGGAACACCAGUGGCGAAGGCGGCUUCCUGGACCAAUACUGACACUGAGGCGCGAAAGCGUGGGGAGCAAACAGG
rnacentral:misc_RNA from 1 species